UCCUGAUAAAAUUAAUGUCUUAUUUCGAGGAACAUUUAACGCAAAACUCAAUCGCAAAGCUGUACAUCUAAAAGGCAACCAAGACAUUGACGUUCGAUUGACCAAGACAUCCGAUAGUUCACCCUAAUAAUGUAUUUUAUAUCUUUUAUAGCAUAUUAAGAACAGAAUAUUAUUAGUACGAACCUAGACAAGAUCUUCCAUCAGGACCUAGAUUGAAUCCCGGAUGGCACUCACAUCGGAAACUACCAGGCGUGUUGAUGCAGCGUCCAUUUUGACAAGUGGCUUAGAUCGGGACCAAUCCUGAAGCCGGAGUCGCACACGCACUUGAAGGAGCCCUCCAUAUUGACGCAUUUGCCGUUCUCGCACAUCCCACUGGUGGAGCAUUCGUCCAUGUCCACGCAGAACGUAUUGUCCCUUGAAGGAGUGAAGCCUGAUUGACAGAUACAAUGAUAGGAUCCUGGCGUGUUCUCACAGCGGCCGUUUAGACAGAUCCUCGGAUUUUCUAUACACUCGUUUAUGUCUAAAAAAAAAAAUUUGACGAAUUGUCGCGUUACUGUUUCUGUGUCAUUUCAGAAAUCUUAUUUUUCUUAAUCACAUUUGUUUUAGCGAAUUAGGGAUUGAUAAGUAACUGUAAUAACUACUUGCUAAUAUUUGAAUCUUGCGAAAUAUUUCAUGCAAUGUAUAAUAUCUCAAGAGGGAAUUAAACGUCUGUGAGAUACUGAUGAGACACUGGAUUUAGUAACUUUUAGUAUUGAUGCAAAAUAGAUGCUAAUAUAUUGGUAUAAUAAUAGUGGAAUAUUGGGAUGGUAGAGAGCAACGAGCGAAAACUUGAAAUGCAGUAGUAUUAUAAUAUUUUGGAUUGAACGGA